AGCCCCGUGAGUAAGCCCUUAAUCCCCUGCCCGGGGACGAGGAGCAGGCAUCAGGCACAAAUCUUUAGCCCAAGACGCCAGGCCGAGCCACACCCCCAAGGGAAUUCAGCAGUGAUAAAUAUUAAGCCAUAAGUGAAAACUUGACUCAGUCAGAGCUAAGAGGGCCGGUAAAACUCGUGCCAGCCACCGCGGUUAAACGAGAGGCCCUAGUUGAUAGUACAACGGCGUAAAGGGUGGUUAAGGAUAGUGAAAUAAUAAAGUCGAAUGGCCCUUUGGCUGUCAUACGCUUCUAGGAGUCCGAAGCCCAAUAUACGAAAGUAACUUUAAGAGCGCCCACCUGACCCCACGAAAACUGAGAAACAAACUGGGAUUAGAUACCCCACUAUGCUCAGUCAUAAACCCAGACGUCCAACUACAAUCAGGCGUCCGCCCGGGUACUACGAGCAUUAGCUUGAAACCCAAAGGACCUGACGGUGCCUCAGACCCCCCUAGAGGAGCCUGUUCUAGAACCGAUAACCCCCGUUAAACCUCACCGCUUCUAGCCAUCCCAGCCUAUAUACCGCCGUCGUCAGCUUACCCUGUGAAGGCAAUAAAAGUAAGCAAAAUGGGCACAACCCAGAACGUCAGGUCGAGGUGUAGCGUACGAAGCGGGAAGAAAUGGGCUACAUUUUCUAUUAUAGAACACUACGAAUAUGCAACAUGAAAUAGUGCUUGAAGGAGGAUUUAGUAGUAAAGAGGAAGCAGCGUGUCCUUUUGAACCCGGCUCUGAGACGCGUACACACCGCCCGUCACUCUCCCCUGUCGAAAUGCAAUAAAGUUAACUAACACCAAAGCUCUGACAAGGGGAGGCAAGUCGUAACAUGGUAAGUGUACCGGAAGGUGCACUUGGAUAAAAU
rnacentral:ncRNA from 1 species